rnacentral:misc_RNA from 1 species
AUAGAGUCCAAGACUUGAACCCUGGGCUAACUGUGAGGGUUUUUUGCAAGCGACAUUUGUUAUUUACAAAGCGCAACUCUCUUUCUCACUCUCUCUCUCUCUAAAGUUUUCGUCUUCUUACAAGGUUAGUUAUAAGGAGUGGGCUUGUUACAACAGCAAGGGUCAACAAAAUGGGUCAGCUGCAAUGGAGGGAAUAGUGUGACCUUCUUUUUUGCCUCCAAAAAGAAAAGAAAAGAAAAAAAAAAAAAAA